rnacentral:rRNA from 1 species
GAUGAACGCUAGCGGCAGGCCUAACACAUGCAAGUCGAGGGAGAAGCCCUUUCGGGGGCCGAAACCGGCGCACGGGUGCGUAACGCGUAUGCAACCUACCUUUCACAGGGGGAUAGCCCGAAGAAAUUUGGAUUAAUACCCCAUAAUAUUAUUGGAUGGCAUCAUUUGAUAAUUAAAACUGCGGUGGUGAAAGAUGGGCAUGCGUCCUAUUAGCUAGUUGGAGUGGUAACGGCACCCCAAGGCUACGAUAGGUAGGGGUCCUGAGAGGGAGAUCCCCCACACUGGUAUUGAGACAGGGACCAGACUCCUACGGGAGGCAGCAGUGAGGAAUAUUGGUCAAUGGUCGGAAGACUGAACCAGCCAUGCCGCGUGCAGGAAGAAUGCCUUAUGGGUUGUAAACUGCUUUUAUAUGGGAAGAAUAAGGCGUACGUGUACGUUGAUGACGGUACCAUAUGAAUAAGCAUCGGCUAACUCCGUG